UGAGUAACCUGCCCUUAACUCUGGGAUAAGCCUGGGAAACUGGGUCUAAUACCGGAUAUGACUCCUCAUCGCAUGGUGGGGGGUGGAAAGCUUUAUUGUGGUUUUGGAUGGACUCGUGGCCUAUCAGCUUGUUGGUGAGGUAAUGGCUCACCAAGGCGACAACGGGUAGCCGGCUGAGAGGGUGACCGGCCACACGUGGGACUGAGACACGGCCCAGACUCCGUACGGGAGCAG
rnacentral:rRNA from 1 species